UUUUCUAUUCCCUCCUAAUAAUAUUUAUUGAUUCCGCUUCAGAAUAAUAAUUUAUUAGUUGGAAUAGGUUCCAUUCUUCUCUUUCACGUUGCAGAAUUUGUCUUUUUUUUUUUUACUUCUUUUUUAAUUUGUUUAUAUCUGGCUUAUCGUAGUACCUUUGUUUUGAUAAAAUAGGUUCCUGCCUUCUUACUGUGGGUAAGUUAACUAGCUUAGUUUUUGCUUGGUUCUAUUUAAAGUAUCUCGGCCAGCUUUAAUUUGCUCCGUUGCUUCUAUUUUUUUGCUGGACUUACAACUUAAGAUUAGAUUUUGCUCCCUUAGCCUUUAAUUUAGUCAUCUAUACAGAAAGCAUGACAUUUAGCUAAAUUCAUGUUUUUUAAUUACGGCUUCUGCCGUUCUGUUGAUUAUAAUGGCUAUUUUCCUAAAUAAUGGUGUUAAUUUUCUAUUGUUGCGCAGAUUACUUAUAUUUUAUUAGUGUAUACACAACUUAUCCUCUCUAUCAUUGAUUGUUGUUGCAUGUUAGAAAACCUUCCUUUGUUCCAUAAAAUCAAAUAAUCUCAAUCUGAAUGGGACCCUGCAUACAAUUAGUUCAAAAAAGAGUUAUGUUAGCAGUACAGUUGAGGGCAUCUACCUUUGGUUAAGGCCUCUGACGUUCAGUUCAGUGAUUGAUUGAGCCAGAGAUUGUUCUCAGAGAUGCCUUUGAGGCUUGUGCUUGGAGUUCUUGAUCCUAUUGAGGGGUGUAUAUCUUUGUGGACAUGGGUUAAUGUAAUUAUGUUGAUUGGUGUGCCUUUGUGAAUCAUCAAUAGGCAAGGUACACCAUACUACUCAUUUUGUUUCUUGAUGAACUCCAUUAAUAUUGAAAUAUGCAUCAUUCGUAUAUUGCUAUUUGUUUAUAUGAAUUGAUAUAUGAUAGAAAUUUUUUCCUAUUGUUUGAGCAUAGAAUCCAUUUAUCACCUUUUUAACUUAUCACUAAUAUUCUGAGGGAGUAGAGUUUCAUGGGCUAUUAUCAUGGGGAAAUGAAUAAUCCAUAUUGUUAAGUUUAGCAGAACACAUUUGAUCUCAAUAGUUGGUUCUUGAGAUAAAAUUCUAUAUCCAUUUUAUGUGAUUGUGCUGAUCAAACACAAAUUUGUGCUUGAUUGGGAUUGGUCAGGAUGUCAGGGUAAGUACAAACUUUCCCAAUCAACGUACAUGGUCAUUGGAACAUGAGUUUUGUGUACUUAAUCAUACGUUUUGUGCACUUCAUUAUUGUUUCUCUUACACAAGCCAUUGUUGCCACUUAAUUUUGGCAGACAUAGGAUAUUAGAACUCGGGAGAGAGCAAGCUUUCAUACAAUUAUGGCUAUAAUGACCCCUAUGGAUGUGGUGUAGGAUUCGAGUUUCCUACUUUGAUAUUCUUUUUGGUGCGAGUUAGGAUUGGGGUGUUAUAGCAAGGCUUACACUUCCAUAAAUAUUAUCUAUGACAUCAAAAUUAAGGCAAGGCUAGCAAUUUCAUUGUUUCUUUGUGGACAUGUUCUAUAAAUCUUGUUAGUGGAUGGUGCAAUAUGAGAUAUGGAGAAUGAAGUAGCAAGGUGCCUUUAUCUUCAUUUCAUUGCUGACCAAGUUGGAAGAAUCUUCAUUUUGUAGGCUGGACGACUAAACAAUUUAGCUAAAGUUUAAGGCCUCAAGCUCUCUCUUUCUCUCUCUCUUGCGCGUGUGCUCGCACACGCUGAGCUAUAUUAUUCAACAUGUUGUGACAAUGACCAAUUAUCCUUAAUCAUUUUUUAGAUCAAAAUAUAUGCUUACUAAAAAAAAGAUGAGAUUAAUUUUGAAUUUUCAUUUGUCAGAUAACAAACCUCAAGUUAACAUUUAUGAAGUCAACUAGUCAUUUACAAAUUAUUAUUGUUAGAUCUCCUCAUAUGCUAUAUAUCAAGAAGAUAGGGAGGUUUAAAUUUUGUUGUUGUUGAAAAUGUGGCUACUUUGAUAAGGAUUCUAUCAUAAGCAUAUAUGGUUGUUGAGUUAUUAAUAAUUAUAAAAUUUAGAAAUUUACAAUGCAACCAUCCUUUUAGAAGAACAAAGUCCAUUCCCCUUGCACAUCUUGCUCCCUCGAUCAAAAUAAUUAAAUGAAUUAGAUUCAAAGUAGCUAAUAGUGAACUUUUAGCUAACUCUUAUAUUCCCAAUGACUUUUACGCUUUUAGCUAAUUCAAAUAUUAUUCAUUCACAUAUUUUGACUGAGGGUACAAGGUGUGGAAGGAGAAAGAACUCUAUCAUUCUAAAAGAUAUAAUCUAUUAAUCUUACCCAAAUUUAAUUAUCUUAUGCCAUUAGCACUAUAAUUUAGUUUUAUGUUGUUGAGUGAGUGAGAUAAACAUGUUCAUGAGUGUGUAUGAUUCUUACUAUUGCGAAAUUGAUUCAAAAUUAGUCAAAUUGAGCUCUUAUUUCAUUUGCUGUGGAAAAUUCAUUUAAUAAUAUGAUUAUUUAUUGUUGUGAUUUAUGUGAAUUGCUUCAUUUAUUGCUGAGUUUUAUCGCUGGAUAAAUUAUAUUGUCAUGAUGAAUACUUUAUGUUUUUGCUGAAAAUUUGGAGAGAAAAAGGGUGCAUCUAAGUUUGGAUGAGUUAAGCAUGUAGGUGUUUGUCAAGUAAAAGAAGCAUUGGAGAGAGGGUUACUACAUUUAUGAUUUGACAGAUCAAUAAAAAAAAAGUGAAAGAAAGUGGAGUCUUGAAUAUUAUAAGAUUAAAAAAUAAAAGAGAAAAAAAAGAUAGGAGAAGAAGAUUUUGAUGGGAAACGAUAAUUUGAGAAUUGAGAAGGUUCGUGUAGGAAAAGAUUCUAAGUGUAGCAUUAAAAAAAAAAAAGA